UACCAUAGUACCCAGGGGUACAACCUAUUUUCCAGCCUUGGCCCCUUCUUCUUUGCUGACCCAGCUAAGUCAGAAACCAGAUAAAUUCCUGAUUUAAUCCUGAGAAGAAAAGAAGAAUCAGCUUUUGAAAGGGAUCUUCUUUUAUCCUUUGCAUAGGUUAGGAGGAGACCAACCAGGAUGGUGAAAUAGUUUAACCUCAAAUCAAAUAGUAAUAAUACAAAAAAAUCAUGGAUAGUAUUUAAUCUAAAAUAAGGAAAUUCCAUAUGUCCUCCAAAAAAAAGUUUUUGGCUUCAAGAAUGAAAAUAAAAGAAGCAUAUUUGUCUCAAUCCAAAUACAGACACCAGAAAGACAAACUGGGACUAUACAAUGAAGUAGCUUGCAGGAUAAUACACAGAAAAAUGUAAUCAUGCAUAAAUCAUGUGCAAAGUAGAAACCACAAAUUGUGUAUUUGGCAAGACUUCGAUUCCUUUGCAUAAUUCUUUCAUUUUCAUCUUGCUACUUCCAUUCUCUUCUCAUAGAAAUAGCUACAUAAAACAAAGACAUAAACUGUGUGCAAUUAAAAUGGGAAAAUAGCUGAAAGGAAUGUAUUGAUAAUUAUGUUAAAAUCUAUACCGUAAGGAUUCUUGCAUUGUUAGGCAUCUAAUUUGUCAUCUGUUGACAUCAGCAUCUCAGUUCUCCAUAACAUCUGAAGCUUUGUUUUAGGCAACUUCUUGCAGAGUGAGCAAACUUUACAUACCGUUGAGUCGACAAAAGUAUAACUAUAUCCUACAGAAAGAGACUUAAGUAAACCUCCAGCAGUCAUAUAGAUUUCUCGGUGGACGGGACCAUCACUGAAUGACAGAGCUGGGGACAUAGUUUCUCUAGACUGAAGCAGGUGCUAAAAUGGUACUCUCACAUGCAGGUUGGCAAUGGUUGACUAGAAGGAGAGACACUUAGAGCAGUUCUUGUGUAUGGAGUUCUGUUUUGUCUUCAUAACCAUGGGUGAAAUGAGUUUGUUUGGGGAGGGAGAGUGAAGUGUCUUUAUAUACAAGGAAGGCUCUGGUCACCCACAACAGGCUUAGGGACACUCGUUAUAACCCCCAGGAUCUUUUCUCUUAAUUAUCAUCACCUCAUCCAUGAAGUUCAGACAUGCAUGAUUUCUCCUUUCUUUCACAAUCUAUUAAAAAAUAUUAAAGCUCUAAAUCUC
rnacentral:lncRNA from 1 species